AGUUCUUCAGCGGCAUCGCUU
rnacentral:miRNA from 1 species